GUGUCAGCCGCCGCGGUAAUACGAAGGGGGCUAGCGUUGUUCGGAAUUACUGGGCGUAAAGCGCGCGCAGGUGGUUUCUCAAGUCAGUGGUGAAAGCCCGGAGCUCAACUCCGGAACUGCCAUUGAAACUGUGGAACUCGAGGACGAGAGAGGUGAGUGGAAUUCCCAGUGUAGAGGUGAAAUUCGUAGAUAUUGGGAAGAACACCGGUGGCGAAGGCGGCUCACUGGCUCGUAUCUGACACUCAAGCGCGACAGCGUGGGGAUCAAACAGGAUUAGAUACCCCUGUAGUCC
rnacentral:rRNA from 1 species